UAAUACGUAGGGUGCGAGCGUUAAUCGGAAUUACUGGGCGUAAAGCGUGCGUAGGCGGUUCGUUAAGUGCGUCGUGAAAGCCCCGGGCUCAACCUGGGAAUGGCGAUGGAAACUGGCGGGCUGGAGUAUGGCAGAGGGGGGUGGAAUUCCGCGUGUAGCAGUGAAAUGCGUAGAGAUGCGGAGGAACACCGAUGGCGAAGGCAGCCCCCUGGGCCAAUACUGACGCUCAGGCACGAAAGCGUGGGGAGCAAACAGGAUUAGAUACCCUGGUAGUCCACGCCCUAAACGAUGCUCACUAGGUGUUGGGGAAGCGAUUCCUUGGUACCGUAGCUAACGCGUGAAGUGAGCCGCCUGGGGAGUACGGCCGCAAGGUUA
rnacentral:rRNA from 1 species